CCUACGGGAGGCUGCAGUGAGGAAUAUUGGUCAAUGGACGAGAGUCUGAACCAGCCAAGUAGCGUGAAGGAUGACUGCCCUAUGGGUUGUAAACUUCUUUUAUAUGGGAAUAAAAUGUUCCACGUGUGGGAUUUUGUAUGUACCAUAUGAAUAAGGAUCGGCUAACUCCGGGCCAGCAGCCGCGGUAAUACGGAGGAACCGAGCGUUAUCCGGAUUUAUUGGGUUUUAAGGGAGCGUAGGUGGAUUUUUAAGUCAGUUGUGAAAGUUUGCGGCUCAACCGUAAAAUUGCAGUUGAAACUGGCAGUCUUGAGUACAGUAGAGGUGGGCGGAAUUCGUGGUGUAGCGGUGAAAUGCUUAGAUAUCACGAAGAACUCCGAUUGCGAAGGCAGUUCACUGGACUGCAACUGACACUGAGGCUCGAAAGUGUGGGUAUCAAACAGGAUUAGAUACCCCGGUAGUC
rnacentral:rRNA from 1 species